ACGAAUGCUGGCGGCGUGCUUAACACAUGCAAGUCGAACGGAAAGGCCCUGCUUUUGUGGGGUGCUCGAGUGGCGAACGGGUGAGUAACACGUGAGUAACCUGCCCUUGACUUUGGGAUAACUUCAGGAAACUGGGGCUAAUACCGGAUAGGAGCUCCUGCUGCAUGGUGGAGGUUGGAAAGUUUCGGCGGUUGGGGAUGGACUCGCGGCUUAUCAGCUUGUUGGUGGGGUAGUGGCUUACCAAGGCUUUGACGGGUAGCCGGCCUGAGAGGGUGACCGGCCACAUUGGGACUGAGAUACGGCCCAGACUCCUACGGGAGGCAGCAGUGGGGAAUAUUGCACAAUGGGCGGAAGCCUGAUGCAGCAACGCCGCGUGCGGGAUGACGGCCUUCGGGUUGUAAACCGCUUUCGCCUGUGACGAAGCGUGAGUGACGGUAAUGGGUAAAGAAGCACCGGCUAACUACGUG
rnacentral:rRNA from 1 species